UCUUUAUAUAAUUUUUUUUAGUAUUAAUAAAGAAAAUUUUAUUUAUUAAUUUAGUUUAUAUUUUAUUGGGGUAAUAAAAAGAUUAAAUAAAUUCUUUUAUAUAAAACAAAGAUUAUUGAUUAUAUGAUCCAUUAUUAAUGAUUAAAAGAUUAAGU
rnacentral:rRNA from 1 species